rnacentral:rRNA from 1 species
UACAGAGGUCUCGAGCGUUGUUCGGAUUCACUGGGCGUAAAGGGUGCGUAGGUGGUGGGGUAAGUCGGAUGUGAAAUCUCCGAGCUCAACUCGGAAAUGGCAUUGGAUACUACUCUGCUCGAGGGUUGGAGGGGGGGACUGGAAUGCUUGGUGUAGCAGUGAAAUGCAUAGAUAUCAAGCGGAACACCAGUGGCGAAGGCGAGUCCCUGGACAACUCCUGACACUGAGGCACGAAAGCUAGGGGAGCAAACAGG